rnacentral:tRNA from 1 species
GCCGCUAUAGCUCAGUUGGCCAGAGCGUCCGCCUUGUAAGCGGAGGGCCCAGGGUUCGAAUCCUUGUGGCGGCACCA